UACCUGCAGCUCGAGUGGUAACCGCUAUUAUUGGGCCUAAAGCGUCCGUAGCCGGUUUGGUAAAUAUCUGGGUAAAUCGUGAGGCUUAACUUCACGAAUUUCGGAUAGACUGCCAGACUUGGGAUCGGGGGAGGUCAGAGGUACUCCAGGGGUAGCGGUGAAAUGUUGUAAUCCUUGGAGGACCACCGGUAGCGAAGGCGUCUGACUAGAACGAGUCAGACGGUGAGGGACGAAGCCCUGGGGCGCAAACCGGAUUAGAUACCCGGGUAGUCCAGGGUGUAAACAAUGUGGGCUUUGUAUUGGAGGUUCCACGUGGGCGUCCAGUGCAGAAGAGAAGUUGUUAAGCCCACCGCCUAGGAAGUACGGUCGCAAGGCUGAAACUUAAAGGAAUUGGGCGGGGGAGCACAGCAACGGGAGGAGCGUGCGGUUU
rnacentral:rRNA from 1 species